CCGCACAAGCGGUGGAGCAUGUGGUUAAUCGAUGCAACGCGAAAACCUUACCUACCCUUGACAUGUCUGGAAGGCCGAAGAGAUUUGGCUGUGCUCGCAAGAGAACCGGAACACAGGUGCUGCAUGGCUGUCGUCAGCUCAUGUCGUGAGAUGUUGGGUUAAGUCCCGCAACGAGCGCAACCCUUGUCAUUAGUUGCUACGAAAGGGCACUCUAAUGAGACUGCCGGUGACAAACCGGAGGAAGGUGGGGAUGACGUCAAGUCCUCAUGGCCCUUAUGGGUAGGGCUUCACACGUCAUACAAUGGUCGGGACAGAGGGUCGCCAACCCGCGAGGGGGAGCCAAUCCCAGAAACCCGAUCGUAGUCCGGAUUGCAGGCUGCAACUCGCCUGCAUGAAGUCGGAAUCGCUAGUAAUCGCGGAUCAGCAUGUCGCGGUGAAUACGUUCCCGGGUCUU
rnacentral:rRNA from 2 species